rnacentral:lncRNA from 1 species
UCUCUCCUCAUCGUGAGCCCCUCCCCCAGCACCCCGGCAGAGAUCAUCCAGCCACCGACAUGCCGGAGUCCCUGCCGGCCGCCACCGAGAUGGCGAGAAGAUUGCUCUGUUUCCUUCACAAAAAUCAAGAGGAAAUCGUUGGCUACUGUAAUCCUGCUACACAAUAUUCAGUUAGCUAGAUGUUUGCUUUUCUUCAGUUUCGUCAGAAUAAGCAGCUGGUAGCUUUUGUUUUUGCUAGAGCAAAACGUUGCAGUUAGUUGCAGGAAGCACCAAAAUCUCUUGUGUUCGUUUCCUUCCUGUGAUCGACGGAGAGAAAUGAGACAGAAGCUAGGUAUCUGAACCAUCAGAAAUCUAUAUAGCCAAAGAGAAAUUUCUGUACUGAACACUUCCUAGAUAAAACAUGACUGAAAAUAAUUAUAACUCCGUGAUGCAGUUGUACUGACUGGUCUGAAGGUAAUUGUAGCGGAGGAACCAAGGGAGCAUCGACUGGUCUGAAGGUAAUCAUCCCGGGCACUAUUGAUGUUACUGAAGCUAGCUCUAUGAUUUUCUCGGUUACUAAGUUAUAUAUGGCAUGAUGCCAAGAGGUGAUACUGGGCGGUACUAGUACUAGUGCAGAAGUAGGAUCAGAUUUUGUUGCAUGAUGCCAAGAUGUGACACUGACACUAAAUCGUACUAGUACUAGUCUAAAAGCAAGGUCAUAUGCGUGUGGAUGUGGCUGUUAUUAUUCUUGAAUGUAGAGACAUCAGGUUAUUAAACAUGGUAGUUCAAAUUAGUAUAUGAGUGUGCUGUCGUUUAACCAGAGGGAUUGUUCAGUUGGUAUAUAAAUGAAAUUGCUUCCAGAUCUGUAUCGAGCAUUGCAACUUGCAAGACUAAAUAAGUUUUGGAUCAGCAGAUUUAUAACUUUGUAAUGCAGAGAAAAAAGUUGUUCUGUUCCCCCCACAAAAAAUGAAAAAAAUUGUAUUAUCUAUUUACUUCACAAUAGUUUUUUCUUGGAAUCUCCUGGUAUGCAGCUUGCUAUCUAUUUUAUAUUGCUCUGCAUAUAUUAUGAUAUUAUAAUUUAUAUUGCUUUGAUUCCUCCAUUUGCUACAGGAACCGAAUUGUGUACCUAAUUAAACAGUUAAUGAUUUAUCUUCUGCUAUAUGUUUCUAGGAUGUGGACUUACGCAUAGACGUACAAACAUGCUAUAUAUUGAAUUUUUUUAAGGUCUAUUUAUUGAAUUGUUGCUUUGAUUAUUAUCUGGAUUUAUGCCUACUUGUAGUCUGGACUUUGGUAGAUGUGGUCCAUUUUUCUAGCAUUAGCGAAGUGAAUUACUGAACUAUUGGUUGCUGUGUAUUUCAAUAUUUGUAGGAUGUCUGAGAGAAAUGCAACAUCGGCAUUGCAGGAGGAGAAUGUCUUAAGAGAAAGUCAGAUGAUGUGGGAUGAGACUAUGGGAGUCUAGCUGAUGCUUCCAACAAGGAUAAAGUGAAGUGUAUUUUCUGUAACCAUGUGAGCACUGGAGGUGUUACCAACUCUCCUGGUAACAGUAUGAUGUGUAUGCUAUGUGUGUUCAAUGUUCCACUUCCAUUGUUUCCUACAGAAUUUUAUUGUGUGGCUUGAAUUUUUUUCUUCAUGAAGAUAUAACAAGAACAAUAAAGAGCGGUAAUUGUAACAGGUUAGGACCAAGCAUUUCCUAAAGAUGUGUAAUUAAUACAUUUGUUGUUAAACAACAAACAUACAUUCCCCAUUCCAACUAGUAAAAAC